rnacentral:rRNA from 1 species
UACGUAGGGUGCGAGCGUUUAAUCGGAAUUACUGGGCGUAAAGCGUGCGCAGGCGGUUCGUUGUGUCCGAUGUGAAAGCCCCGGGCUUAACCUGGGAAUGGCAUUGGAAACUGGCGGGCUUGAGUGCGGCAGAGGGGGGUGGAAUUCCGCGUGUAGCAGUGAAAUGCGUAGAGAUGCGGAGGAACACCGAUGGCGAAGGCAGCCCCCUGGGUCGACACUGACGCUCAGGCACGAAAGCGUGGGGAGCAAACAGG